rnacentral:rRNA from 1 species
GAUGAACGCUGGCGGCGUGCCUAAUACAUGCCAGUCGAGCGAACAGACGAGGAGCUUGCUCCUCUGACGUUAGCGGCGGACGGGUGAGUAACACGUGGAUAACCUACCUAUAAGACUGGGAUAACUUCGGGAAACCGGAGCUAAUACCGGAUAAUAUAUUGAACCGCAUGGUUCAAUAGUGAAAGACGGUUUUGCUGUCACUUAUAGAUGGAUCCGCGCCGCAUUAGCUAGUUGGUAAGGUAACGGCUUACCAAGGCGACGAUGCGUAGCCGACCUGAGAGAGUGAUCGGCCACACUGGAACUGAGACACGGUCCAGACUCCUACGGGAGGCAGCAGUAGGGAAUCUUCCGCAAUGGGCGAAAGCCUGACGGAGCAACGCCGCGUGAGUGAUGAAGGUCUUCGGAUCGUAAAACUCUGUUAUUAGGGAAGAACAAAUGUGUAAGUAACUAUGCACGUCUUGACGGUACCUAAUCAGAAAGCCACGGCUAACUACGUG